rnacentral:tRNA from 1 species
UUAAAUUUUAGUUUAAUAAAAAUAAUUCAUUUACAUUGAAUAGAUUUUAAAAUAAAGUAAAAAAUUUAAU